CAACAGGCAUCUGCAAACAAGCGAGGAGCAGCAAAACGAUCCCCAACCCCAAGUUGCUGCUGCGCGCGUUCUGCGCGAUCCGUGGCAGUGACGGGAUAUGCCGUGAGCACAACCUGGAGGCCUUUGAAAGCUGUUCCGGAUAAAUGAAUUGAUAUCCUAGCAAAUUCCAGAGGUGGUAAAUGACUUUAUUUUUCUGGAACAUCUUUACAAACGUGUGGAUUUAUAUACAUUUGGCCAAACACCAACAACAACAACAACAAAAUUGUGAAUGUUUUUACUGCACAUAAUAAAAUGGCUGCAAUGAAAGUGAAGCUUGCUAGUAGCUUGCACCUGACUGAGCAGCUCUCCAGGAAAUGGCGUGUUCUCCUUUGUACCUUCAGUAGCCUUCAAGGUCUAGGGAAAUCAGCACAGGCCUCUGCUGGAUCCUGGAGGUAAGAGGAGCAGGCAAAGAAUAUGAUUUGGUGCGAGGUUGGAGUUCCAGGUUAGAAGAUAAAGACACCUGAGCAGAAGUGGAUAGGCCACGUGCAUGGACGGU